rnacentral:rRNA from 1 species
GACGAACGCUGGCGGCGCGCUUAACACAUGCAAGUCGAGCGAAGCGGCGGACGGGUGAGUACCACGUGAGUAACCUGCCUUAGACAUUGGGAUAGCCUCGGGAAACCGGGAUUAAUACCAAAUGGUCUAGGAUGGACUCGCGUCCCAUUAGCUGGUUGGUGAGGUAACGGCCCACCAAGGCGACGAUGGGUAGCCGGCCUCAGAGGGUGAACGGCAACACUGGAACGGAGAAACGGUCGAAAAUCUACGGGAGGGAGCAGUGGGGAAUAUUGCAAAAUGGAGGGAACUAUGAUGCAGGGAGGCCGGGUGAACGAAGAAGGCUGUCGAGUAGGAAAGUUCUUUUAUAUGGGAAGCGGUACCAUAAGAAAAAGCCCCGGCUAACUACGUGCCAGCAGCCGCGGUAAUAC